AAAAAAAUUUUAUACUUACCUGUAUAACCUCAGAAUAUGGCUUGAGGGUCUCUACCAGGAACCAAAAAAUCCUGAUUACAGAAAAUGA
rnacentral:ncRNA from 1 species